CAGACUUUCAAGGGAAUAGAUGAAUCAAAUGCUGCUAUUGACAUGUUAUGGCUAUCCCCUUGGAAAAGAUUACUGGAGCAGUAACUCAUACAAAGUGUAUACAGAGCUUUAAACACAUUUAACAAGACUGGAGAAUAUAUAGUCCUUAAUCAGAGCUGCAGCAGAACAGUGGGUGAGACUGAAGGUGAACUUGCAAUACCUACAAACGCAGGAGAUCAAGUU
rnacentral:lncRNA from 1 species